rnacentral:tRNA from 1 species
GCCAAGAUAGCUCAGCUGGUAGAGCAACGGAUUGAAGCUCCGUGUGUCACCAGUUCAACUCUGGUUCUUGGCA